rnacentral:rRNA from 1 species
ACUCCUACGGGAGGCAGCAGUGAGGAAUAUUGGUCAAUGGACGCAAGUCUGAACCAGCCAUGCCGCGUGAAGGAUGAAGGCCUUCUGGGUUGUAAACUUCUUUUAUCUGGGAAGAAAAAUAUGGUAUCUACUAUAUCCGACGGUACCAGAGGAAUAAGCACCGGCUAACUCCGUGCCAGCAGCCGCGGUAAUACGGAGGGUGCAAGCGUUAUCCGGAUUUACUGGGUUUAAAGGGUGUGUAGGCGGGUCUUUAAGUCAGUGGUGAAAUCUCCGGGCUCAACCUGGAAACUGCCAUUGAUACUAUUGAUCUUGAAUUCUGUUGAGGUUGGCGGAAUAAGUCAUGUAGCGGUGAAAUGCAUAGAUAUGACUUAGAACACCGAUUGCGAAGGCAGCUAACUAAGCAGAUAUUGACGCUGAGGCACGAAAGCGUGGGGAUCAAACAGGAUUAGAUACCCUGGUAGUCCACGCCCUAAACGAUGAUUACUCGACAUACGCGAUACACAGUGUGUGUCUGAGCGAAAGCAUUAAGUAAUCCACCUGGGAAGUACGACCGCAAGGUUGAAACUUAAAGGAAUUGACG